AGAGUUUGAUCCUGGCUCAGAGUGAACGCUGGCGGCAGGCCUAAUACAUGCAAGUCGAACGGCAGCACAGCAGAGCUUGCUCUGUGGGUGGCGAGUGGCGGACGGGUGAGGAAUACAUGGGAAUCUGCCCAGUCGUGGGGGAUAACGUAUGGAAACGUACGCUAAUACCGCAUGCGCCCUUCGGGGGAAAGCCGGGGACCUUCGGGCCUGGCGCGAUUGGAUGAGCCCAUGUUCGAUUAGCUAGUUGGCGGGGUAAAGGCCCACCAAGGCGACGAUCGAUAGCUGGUCUGAGAGGAUGAUCAGCCACACUGGGACUGAGACACGGCCCAGACUCCUACGGGAGGCAGCAGUAGGGAAUAUUGGACAAUGGGCGCAAGCCUGAUCCAGCCAUGCCGCGUGAGUGAAGAAGGCCCUCGGGUUGUAAAGCUCUUUUGUUGGGGAAGAAAAGCAGUCGGUUAAUACCUGAUUGUCCUGACGGUACCCAAAGAAUAAGCACCGGCUAACUUCGUGCCAGCCGCCGCGGUAAUUC
rnacentral:rRNA from 1 species